rnacentral:rRNA from 1 species
AGAGGCCACUGCUAUCAGCGUCCGACUAAGCCAUGCGAGUCGUGGGCACCCCCUCAAGGGGGAGACCCGGCGGACGGCUCAGUAACACGUGGCUAACCUACCCUCGGGUCCGGGAUAACCCCGGGAAACUGGGGAUAAUACCGGAUAGGCCUCUGAUACCUGGAAUGGGCGGAGGCCGAAAGCCGUGAGGCGCCCGAGGAUGGGGCUGCGGCCGAUUAGGUAGUUGUCGGUUUAACGGGCCGACAAGCCUACGAUCGGUACGGGCCGUGAGAGCGGGAGCCCGGAGAUGGGCUCUGAGACAAGAGCCCAGGCCCUACGGGGCGCAGCAGGCGCGAAACCUUCACAAUGCCCGAAAGGGCGAUGAGGGGACGCUGAGUGCCCUUCGGGGCUGUUCGGGUGCCUAAAAAGCACCCGGAGUAAGGGCUGGGUAAGACCGGUGCCAGCCGCCGCGGUAAUACCGGCAGCCCGAGUGGUGGCCGCGUUUAUUGGGCCUAAAGGGUCCGUAGCCGGUAGGGUAAGUUCCUCGGGAAACCUCGCCGCUCAACGGUGAGGCUUCCGGGGAAUACUGCCCGACUUGGGACCGGGAUGGGCCGGAGGUACUCCCGGGGUAGGGGUGAAAUCCGUUGAUCCC